GACGAACGCUGGCGGCGUGCUUAACACAUGCGAGUCGAACGGAAAGGCCCAGCUUGCUGGGGGCUCGAGUGGCGAACGGGUGAGUAAUGCGUGGGUGAUCUGCCCCUAACUUGGGGAAAAGCUCGGGAAACGGGGUCUAUUACCGGAUAGGACAGUGGUUGAGAGUGGGGGGUGGAAAGUUUUUUCGGUUAGGGAUGAGCCGGCGGCCGAUCAGCUUGUUGGUGGGGUAAUGGCCUACCAAGGCGGCGACGGGUAGCUGGCCGGAGAGGGUGGACGGCCACAUCGCGACUGGGAGGCGGCCGAGGCUCCUAUGGGAGGAAGCAGUGGGGACUAUUGCAGCAUGGGCGCGAGCGUGAUGAAGCGCCGCCGCGUGGGGGAUGACGGCCUUCGGGUUGUAGACCUGUUUCGUCAGGGACGAAGCUUUGGACGUUGUCCACAGAAAAGGAGCCCCGUAACUCUGUG
rnacentral:rRNA from 1 species